rnacentral:rRNA from 1 species
GAUGAACGCUGGCGGCGUGCCUAAUACAUGCAAGUCGAGCGAAUGGAUUAAGAGCUUGCUCUUAUGAAGUUAGCGGCGGACGGGUGAGUAACACGUGGGUAACCUGCCCAUAAGACUGGGAUAACUCCGGGAAACCGGGGCUAAUACCGGAUAACAUUUUGAACCGCAUGGUUCGAAAUUGAAUGGCGGCUUCGGCUGUCACUUAUGGAUGGACCCGCGUAGCAUGAGCUAGUUGGUGAGGUAACGGCUCACAAAGGCAACGAUGCGUAGCCGACCUGAGAGGGUGAUCGGCCACACUGGGACUGAGACACGGCCCAGACUCCUACGGGAGGCAGCAGUAGGGAAUCUUCCGCAAUGGACGAAAGUCUGACGGAGCAACGCCGCGUGAGUGAUGAAGGCUUUCGGGUCGUAAAACUCUGUUGUUAGGGAAGAACAAGUGCUAGUUGAAUAAGCUGGCACCUUGACGGUACCUAACCAGAAAGCCACGGCUAACUACGUGCCAGCAGCCGCCGUAA